rnacentral:rRNA from 1 species
UACGGAGGGUGCAAGCGUUAUCCGGAUUCACUGGGUUUAAAGGGGGCGCAGGUGGGUCUGUAAGUCAGUGGUGAAAUCUCCGAGCUUAACUCGGAAACUGCCAUUGAUACUAUAGGUCUUGAAUCAUCUGGAGGUAAGCGGAAUAUGUCAUGUAGCGGUGAAAUGCUUAGAUAUGACAUAGAACACCAAUUGCGAAGGCAGCUUACUACGGAUGUAUUGACACUGAGGCACGAAAGCGUGGGGAUCAAACAGG